rnacentral:rRNA from 1 species
AUGAAACUACAAGUUGAGGAGUUUGUCAAGCAGUGCAGUGUCUGUCAGCAAGCGAAACACGAACAUGCACAUCCGUCGGGCACAUUACAACCCUUGCCGAUACCUGUUCGAGCCUGGGGCGAAGUAACGAUGGAUUUUAUUGAAGGGUUGCCGCGUUCAGAAGGGGCUGAUGUGAUUCUGGUGGUAGUGGAUCGAUUAACUAAAUAUUCACACUUCAUUCCACUCCAUCACCCAUUCACAGCUCUUCAGGUUGCUCGUGCAUUCCUUGACAACAUUGUCAAAUUGCAUGGUGUUCCAGAAUCAAUCGUUUCUGACCGGGAUAAGAUCUUCACGAGUGCAUUUUGGAGGGAACUAUUUGCGCUCGUCGGCACCAAGCUUCUUUACACUACCGCCUACCAUCCACAGACGGAUGGCCAGAGCGAAAGGGUGAAUCAAUGUCUUGAGCAUUAUCUACGUUGUGCUGUUCACGACACACCGUGUCGGUGGAAAAGAUGGUUACCAAUGGCAGAAUUCUGGUACAACUCGAGUCAUCACAGUGCGAUCGGGUGCUCGCCGUUCAAAGCCUUAUAUGGAGUGGAUCCGAACUUUGGUGCCCUGCCUAAUCUAUUCAACACAACGACUCCGGCAUCACUGCAUGAGCUGGCCGCAGAGCACCAACAGUUCACUGAAAUGCUAAAAGAACACCUACUGCAUGCACAACACAGAAUGAAACAUCAGGCUGAUCGCAAACGCACAGAGAGGGAGUUCAGUGUUGGUGAUCAAGUGCUACUCAAACUUCAACCGUAUGUGCAAUCCUCGGUGGUCAACCGGCCUUGUCCCAAACUGGCAUACAAAUUCUAUGGCCCGUACAAAGUCACCAGCCGCAUUGGCACUGUUGCGUACAAGUUGGAGCUGCCCCAGGAGAGUAAAAUUCACCCAGUUUUUCAUGUUUCGCAGCUUAAACCCUUCACGGCGGACUACUCGCCAGUCUUCAAUCAACUUCCCGCUCCACCGGACCUCACUGUCGGCGAUCUGGUUCCUCAGGCAAUUCUAGAGCGCCGCCUCGUCAAGCAAGGGAACGCGGCAAUUCCUCAAGUCCUGGUGCACUGGCGCACGCUUUCGCCGGCCAGUGCAACCUGGGAGAACUACCAUGUGCUUCAACAGCGAUUUCCGGGCGUCGACCUCGGCAAUGGCGCUUCGACUCAAGGAGGGGACAAUGUCACACCCUACUCUCCACCCGAUCAGGCAGGAGAGCAUGCGGACAGCAAGGCACCAGAGGUGCAGCCGCGUGAGGAGGAAGAUCAGGGCCCACGGGCAGAGAGCAUGGAAAAGUCCUUGGUAGGUUAG